AUCCAACUGACGAGUCCCAAAUAGAACUAAACGCGCUUUCUGGAU
rnacentral:hammerhead_ribozyme from 1 species